rnacentral:rRNA from 1 species
GCGAACGGGUGAGUAACACGUGAGUAACCUGCCCUUGACUCUGGGAUAAGCCUGGGAAACUGGGUCUAAUACCGGAUACGACCAUCUGGCGCAUGUCAUGGUGGUGGAAAGCUUUUGUGGUUUUGGAUGGACUCGCGGCCUAUCAGCUUGUUGGUGGGGUAAUGGCCUACCAAGGCGACGACGGGUAGCCGGCCUGAGAGGGUGACCGGCCACACUGGGACUGAGACACGGCCCAGACUCCUACGGGAGGCAGCAGUGGGGAAUAUUGCACAAUGGGCGCAAGCCUGAUGCAGCGACGCCGCGUGAGGGAUGACGGCCUUCGGGUUGUAAACCUCUUUCAGUAGGGAAGAAGCGAAAGUGACGGUACCUGCAGAAGAAGCGCCGGCUAACUACGUGCCAGCAGCCGCGGUAAUACGUAGGGCGCAAGCGUUAUCCGGAAUUAUUGGGCGUAAAGAGCUCGUAGGCGGUUUGUCGCGUCUGCUGUGAAAGACCGGGGCUCAACUCCGGUUCUGCAGUGGGUACGGGCAGACUAGAGUGCAGUAGGGGAGACUGGAAUUCCUGGUGUAGCGGUGAAAUGCGCAGAUAUCAGGAGGAACCCCGAUGGCGAAGGCAGGUCUCUGGGCUGUAACUGACGCUGAGGAGCGAAAGCAUGGGGAGCGAACAGGAUUAGAUACCCUGGUAGUCCAUGCCGUAAACGUUGGGCACUAGGUGUGGGGGACAUUCCACGUUUUCCGCGCCGUAGCUAACGCAUUAAGUGCCCCGCCUGGGGAGUACGGCCGCAAGGCUAAAACUCAAAGGAAUUGACGGGGGCCCGCACAAGCGGCGGAGCAUGCGGAUUAAUUCGAUGCAACGCGAAGAACCUUACCAAGGCUUGACAUGAACCGGAAAGACCUGGAAACAGGUGCCCCGCUUGCGGUCGGUUUACAGGUGGUGCAUGGUUGUCGUCAGCUCGUGUCGUGAGAUGUUGGGUUAAGUCCCGCAACGAGCGCAACCCUCGUUCUAUGUUGCCAGCGCGUUAUGGCGGGGACUCAUAGGAGACUGCCGGGGUCAACUCGGAGGAAGGUGGGGACGACGUCAAAUCAUCAUGCCCCUUAUGUCUUGGGCUUCACGCAUGCUACAAUGGCCGGUACAAAGGGUUGCGAUACUGUGAGGUGGAGCUAAUCCCAAAAAGCCGGUCUCAGUUCGGAUUGGGGUCUGCAACUCGACCCCAUGAAGUCGGAGUCGCUAGUAAUCGCAGAUCAGCAACGCUGCGGUGAAUACGUUCCCGGGCCUUGUACACACCGCCCGUCAAGUCACGAAAGUUGGUA